UUUCUCUUUAUACGAGUUUACGCUAGUUACAGGAUUAAACCCUGCUAAUGAGGAGGAGUAUCAGAGCCAAAUAAAUGAAAAUAGUAGAUUGAAAACUAAAUAUUUCCCAACAUCCAGUAAGGUUACGCCUAAAGAAUUAAAUGAGGCUUUUGGAAAAGAGAUAGAAGACAUGGAUGAUAAAUAUAAAUUGGGUUUAGUUCUUAUAUAUGAGACAGUGUUGAGGUCCAAAGAAAAA
rnacentral:lncRNA from 1 species